UUCGAAACUGGCAGGCUUGAGUCUUGUAGAGGGGGGUAGAAUUCCAGGUGUAGCGGUGAAAUGCGUAGAGAUCUGGAGGAAUACCGGUGGCGAAGGCGGCCCCCUGGACAAAGACUGACGCUCAGGUGCGAAAGCGUGGGGAGCAAACAGGAUUAGAUACCCUGGUAGUCCACGCCGUAAACGAUGUCUACUUGGAGGUUGUGCCCUUGAGGCGUGGCUUCCGGAGCUAACGCGUUAAGUAGACCGCCUGGGGAGUACGGCCGCAAGGUUAAAACUCAAAUGAAUUGACGGGGGCCCGCACAAGCGGUGGAGCAUGUGGUUUAAUUCGAUGCAACGCGAAGAACC
rnacentral:rRNA from 6 species